UACAGAGGGGGCAAGCGUUGUUCGGAAUUACUGGGCGUAAAGGGUGCGUAGGCGGCUUCUUAAGUCUGGUGUGAAAUCUCCCGGCUCAACUGGGAGGGUGCGCCGGAUACUGAGGGGCUAGAGUGUGGGAGAGGAAAGUGGAAUUCCUGGUGUAGCGGUGAAAUGCGUAGAUAUCAGGAGGAACACCGGUGGUGUAAACGGCUUUCUGGACCAUAACUGACGCUGAGGCACGAAAGCGUGGGUAGCAAACAGG
rnacentral:rRNA from 1 species